CCAAGGGCACACGGUGGAUGCCUUGGCACCAAGAGCCGAUGAAGGACGUAGCGUUGUUGCGAUAAGCCUCGGGUAGCUGCUAGCAAGCACUCGAUCCGGGGAUUUCCGAAUGGGGCAACCCACCUGGAGGAAUGUCCAGGUACUCCCGGUUGAAUAUAUAGACCGGGUAGAGGGCACGCGGAGAACUGAAACAUCUAAGUAUCCGCAGGAAAAGAUGUCAUCCCCUGAGUAGUGGCGAGCGAAAAGGGGUGAGGCUAAACCGAGACGGCGUGAUAGCCGGCAGGCGUUUCCGUCUCGGGGUCGCGGGACCUCAGCGUUCCCUCUGCCGAGGGGACAAGGAGUUACAAAGUCGUUGUCUAGCCGAACGGCAUUGGAAAAGCCGGCCGCAGAGGGUGACAGCCCCGUACGCGAAAGGCACACGACCUCCUUUGAGAGCUCCCAAGUACCACGGAACACGUGGAAUUCUGUGGGAAUCUGGGCGGACCAUCGUCCAAGCCUGAAUACUCUUGGUGACCGAUAGUGAACAAGUACCGUGAGGGAAAGGUGAAAAGCACCCCAGACGGGGAGUUAAAAGUACCUGAAACCGUGUGCUUACAAGCCGUGAGAGGGCUAUGCCCCUAGUGGGAAUGCCUGAUUGCGUGCCUUUUGUAGAAUGAGCCGGCGAGUUACUUCCAUGUGGCGAGGUUAAGGGGUUGACACCCGGAGCCGUAGCGAAAGCGAGUCUGAAUAGGGCGUGACCACCGUAAUGGUGGUGGUAGUCGCAUGGAGUAGACCCGAAACCGAGUGACCUAUCCAUGGUCAGGGUGAAGCGCGGGUAAGACCGCGUGGAAGCCCGAACCGACCCCAGUUGAAAAUGCGGCGGAUGAACUGUGGAUAGCGGUGAAAUGCCAAUCGAACUCGGAUAUAGCUGGUUCUCCUCGAAAUGCAUUUAGGUGCAGCGUCGUCGAUGGGUUUGUGGCCGGUAGAGCACUGAAUGGGCUAGGGGCGAUCACCUCGUUACCAAACCCAACCAAACUCCGAAUGGCAACAAACUUUCCGGCGGCAGUGAGACGGUGGGGGCUAAGCUUCAUCGUCGAAAGGGAAACAGCCCAGACCACCGGCUAAGGUCCCAAAUCGCAAGCUAAGUGGAAAAGGAUGUCACGGUGUCCAGACAACCAGGAUGUGGGCUUAGAGGCAGCCACCAUUUAAAGAGUGCGUAACAGCUCACUGGUCGAAUGUCGUGGCGCCGACAAUGAUCGGGGCUCAAGCUUGCAACCGAAGCCGUGGAUGGCCUUCCUUCACAGGAAGGUCGUGGUAGAGGAGCGUUCUGUUUGCUGCGAAGCCUGACCGUAAGGACGGGUGGAGCGGACAGAAGUGAGAAUGCCGGCACAAGUAGCGAGAAACGCGUGAGAAACGUGUUCGCCGUAAACCUAAGGUUUCCUGGGCUACGUUAAUCGACCCAGGGUCAGUCGGGACCUAAGCCGAGGCCGAAAGGCGUAGGCGAUGGACAGUUGGUCAACAUUCCAACACCGCCGCUGGUUCGUUAUCAGCAAUGGGGGAACGGGGAAGGAUAGGCCUGACGGGGCGACGGUUGUCCCCGACGGAGCCUUGUAGGAGGUCAAGUAGGCAAAUCCGCUUGACGCUAACUCCAAGAAGGAUCCCAAGACACUUUGUGUCGAUGGGGCCGAUUCCAUGCCUCCAAGAAAAGCCUCUAGCGAGAACCACGGCGCCCGUACCGCAGACCGACACAGGUAGGUGGGAAGAGGAUUCCAAGGCGAUCGAGGGAAACGUGGCUAAGGAACUCGGCAAAAUGUCCCCGUAACUUCGGGAGAAGGGGAGCCCUUGGCGGUGAUCCGAUUUACUCGGUGAGCUGACGAGGGCCGCAGAGAAAAGGCCCAUCCGACUGUUUACUAAAAACACAGGUCUCUGCUAAAGCGUAAGCUGACGUAUAGGGGCUGACGCCUGCCCGGUGCCGGAAGGUUAAGUGGAGGAGUGCAAGCUCUGAAAUGAAGCCCCGGUAAACGGCGGCCGUAACUAUCAACAUUGACCGUGGUAGUUAUAAAAUUCGGCUAUAUGCUGGAAUACCCGUCCUUGAAAAGGUGAAGUAUCCCGUGCUAGACGCCGCACUGGUCCUUCUGGAUUCAGUCGACUCUGACAAUGCAACGGGUGCGGGCAAUCAGCAGGAAAGGCUCUCCAUCGCAACCAUCGCAUCAGAUCUAGGCAACUUCCUUGCAGGCUUCGCCCUCGGGGAGGGAAGCUUCAUGAUCGUGUGCCGGCGCCGCGCCGACUACAGAUGUGGAUGGAAGGUUUCCGCAGCAUUCAAUGUCUCCCAGAAUGACAUCGCGCCGCUUGAGCUCUUCCGCAAGACGCUCGGUUGCGGAACGAUACGCAUAGCUGGGAAUGGUGGCUGGUAUUUCGAGGUCAACAACCUCGGAGACAUCCAGGCCGCAGUCGUUCCAUUCUUCCGCCGGUUCCCACUGGUAGGGAGGAAGCAAACUGACUUUGAACUGUUCGCGGAUGCGGCAUCGAUAUUGGCGAAGUCGCCACUCACCGACACGGCGUGUCGAGAGAUUCUCGAGAUUCGAGAGUCGCUCAACGGUGGCGGCAAACGCCGAUACACCAUGGAGAGAAUCCUCAGAGACUAUACGCCGAACCCUUCACGUUGAAGGGAUGAGAUAGUCCGAUCUCAUGGGCGACCAUGAGAGCUGGUAACCAAUCCGGCCACCCCAGGUCCAUUGCCUGGGGGAGCAACAACGAUGAACGGUCCUAAGGUAGGAAAGUAACUGCCUUAGUAAAAUCUGGCUAUAUGCUGGAAAACCCGAGAAUCCCGCGCUACUGCAACGUGCAGUGACAAUGCGACGGGUGCGGACAAUCAGCAGGAAAGACUGCUCGGCGGAGCAGAAUCCUCAGAGACCAUACGCCAGACAGUUCAAAUCGAACUGAAGAUAUGGUCCCAUCUGCAUGGCGACAUGCAGGGAGGUCGUGGAACAACCUCCGCUCAGACGGAA
rnacentral:rRNA from 1 species